rnacentral:lncRNA from 1 species
AUUUUAUUAAAAAAAAUUUGGUUGAAAUUGUGUCAAAUCAAUGUUAAAUAAUGCAUUUUGAUGAAAAAUAUGGUUCAAACAAGGGCUAUAUUUUGUUUUUAAGUUCGUGAAUAGCUUAACUAAAACUUCGAUAAAUGUAAGUCUUGUAAGUUAAAUAUACUCAAUAAUUAUAACUAAGAUUUGGGAAAGAUGUCCUAGUUUUAUUUUAAUUGUUCCUAGAUCUAUCAAAUACAAAAUGUCAAAAUAAGUAUAUUGCUUGAUAUUAUCACAAAGAAUAGCGAUCAUCAUCAAGUCAGAGGACACUGAACAUAGUAGAAAAUGCAUUUUAGUACAUUGAAUAAUGAAUCGGAGAGCUUACCAUCAUCCUCCAUUACUAUUCUCUUUCUCGAUUCUUGGUGUCUAGGUAUCCCCAUUGAGAUGACCAAUGCCUAGCCACAAUCAAGUUGACCAUGCGUAAUCAAUGGGCUAAGUUAGGUGGUGAUUGUUGGUAGGAAUUAAGUCUAAACUACCAUAGUGUUGGGCACCUCAUAAGUAACAAGGUUGAUCGUGGUCCAUAUUGUAGUGCAACUUUUUGGGGGAUUUUUUUAUUUAGCCUAUUACUAUUUCUUUUUAUGGAAAAGU